GAUCCUGGCUCAGGAUGAACGCUAGCGACAGGCUUAACACAUGCAAGUCGAGGGGCAGCACAGGGUAGCAAUACUUGGGUGGCGACCGGCGCACGGGUGAGUAACGCGUAUGCAACUUACCUAUCAGAGGGGGAUAGCCCGGCGAAAGUCGGAUUAAUACUCCAUAAAACAGGGGUUCCGCAUGGGACUAUUUGUUAAAGAUUCAUCGCUGAUAGAUAGGCAUGCGUUCCAUUAGGCAG
rnacentral:rRNA from 1 species